UGCAGUCGAGCGAUGAUGCCCAGCUUGCUGGGUGGAUUAGUGGCGAACGGGUGAGUAACACGUGAGUAACCUGCCCCUGACUUCGGGAUAAGCGCUGGAAACGGCGUCUAAUACCGGAUACGAGCUUUCACCGCAUGGUGGUUGUUGGAAAGUUUUUCGGUCAGGGAUGGGCUCGCGGCCUAUCAGCUUGUUGGUGGGGUGAUGGCCUACCAAGGCGACGACRGGUAGCCGGCCUGAGAGGGCGACCGGCCACACUGGGACUGAGACACGGCCCAGACUCCUACGGGAGGCAGCAGUGGGGAAUAUUGCRCAAUGGGCGAAAGCCUGAUGCAGCGACGCCGCGUGAGGGAUGACGGCCUUCGGGUUGUAAACCUCUUUCAGCAGGGAAGAAGCGCAAGUGACGGUACCUGCAGAAGAAGCGCCGGCUAACUACGUGCCAGCAGCCGCGGUAAUACGUAGGGCGCACGCGUUGUCCGGAAUUAUUGGGCGUAAAGAGCUCGUAGGCGGUUUGUCGCGUCUGGUGUGAAAACUCGAGGCUCAACCUCKAGCUUGCAUCGGGUACRGGCAGACUAGAGUGCGGUACGGGAGACUGAAAUUCCUGAUGUAGCGCUGCUAUG
rnacentral:rRNA from 1 species